CAUAACCCCCGGAAACUGGGUAUAAUACCCGAUAGGUCUCGAUUGCUGGAAUGCAUCGAGAUUUAAAGCUCCGGCGCCUAAGGAUGGGUCUGCGGCCUAUCAGGUAGUAGUGGGUGUAGCGUACCUACUAGCCUACGACGGGUACGGGUUGUGAGAGCAAGAGCCCGGAGAUGGAUUCUGAGACACGAAUCCAGGCCCUACGGGGUGCAGCAGGCGCGAAAACUUUACAAUGCUGGCAACAGCGAUAAGGGAACCUCGAGUGCCAGGUUACAAAUCUGGCUGUCGAGAUGCCUAAAAAGCAUUUCAUAGCAAGGGCCGGGCAAGACCGGUGCCAGCCGCCGCGGUAACACCGGCGGCUCGAGUGGUAACCGUUAUUAUUGGGUCUAAAGGGUCUGUAGCCGGCCGGAUAAGUCUCUUGAGAAAUCUGGCAGCUUAACUGUCAGGCUUUCAGGAGAUACUGUCUGGCUCGAGGCCGGGAGAGGUGAGAGGUACUUCAGGGGUAGGGGUGAAAUCUUGUAAUCCUUGAAGGACCACCAGUGGCGAAGGCGUCUCACCAGAACGGACCUGACGGCAAGGGACGAAAGCUAGGGGCACGAACCGGAUUAGAUACCCGGGUAGUCCUAGCCGUAAACGAUACUCGCUAGGUGUCGGCCACGGUGCGACCGUUGUCGGUGCCGUAGGGAAGCCGUGAAGCGAGCCACCUGGGAAGUACGGCCGCAAGGCUGAAACUUAAAGGAAUUGGCGGGGGAGCACCACAACGGGUGGAGCUUGCGGUUUAAUUGGAUUCAACGCCGGAAAUCUUACCGGGACCGACAGCAAUAUGAACGCCAGGCUGAAGACUUUGCCGGAUUAGCUGAGAGGUGGUGCAU
rnacentral:rRNA from 1 species